UUUCCCAGUCACGAUAGUUAGGGCGGGACACGUGUAAUCCUGUCUGAACAUGGGGGGACCACCCUCCAAGCCUAAGUACUCUCUAGCGACCGAUAGUGAACAAGUACCGUGAGGGAAAGGUGAAAAGAACCCCGACGAGGGGAGUGAAAUAGACACUGAAACCGAAUGCUUACAAGCAGUCGGAGCGGAAUUUAUUCCGUGACGGCGUACCUUUUGUAUAAUGGGUCAGCGACUUAGUUUGUCGAGCGAGCUUAAGCCGUUAGGUGUAGGCGUAGCGAAAGCAAGUCUUAAUAGGGCGAUAUAGUUCGACGAAUUAGACCCGAAACCGGGUGAUCUAGCCAUGGCCAGAUUGAAGGUGGAGUAACAUCUACUGAAGGAUCGAACCCACUAAUGUUGAAAAAUUAGGGGAUGAGCUGUGGCUAGGGGUGAAAGGCCAAUCAAACUCGGAGAUAGCUGGUUCUCCGCGAAAUCUAUUUAGGUAGAGCGUUAUAUGAUUACCACUGGAGGUAGAGCACUGGAUAAGCUAGGGGGUCCAACAGACUUACCAAACUUAACCAAACUCCGAAUGCCAGUGAGUACAGUAUAGCAGACAGACCAUGGGUGCUAAGGUCCGUGGUCGAGAGGGAAAGAGCCCAGACCGCCAUCUAAGGUCCCAAAAUCAUGACUAAGUGUUAAAGGAUGUGGGAAAACCAAAACAACUAGGAUGUUGGCUUAGAAGCAGCCAUCAUUUAAAGAAAGCGUAAUAGCUCACUAGUCUAAUUAAGUUUUCCUGCGCCGACAAUGUAACGGGGCUAAAGUCAUGUACCGAAGAUGCGGAUUCAUAUGUAAACAUAUGAGUGGUAGCGGAGCGUUCCGUAAGCCUGUGAAGGCAUCCUGUAAGGGCUGCUGGAGGUAUCGGAAGUGAGAAUGCUGACAUAAGUAGCGAUAAAGAAUGUGAGAGACAUUCUCGCCGAAAGUCCAAGGUUUCCUGCGUAAAGCUAAUCUGCGCAGGGUUAGUCGGCCCCUAAGGCGAGGCUGAAAGGCGUAGUCGAUGGGAAUCAGGUUAAUAUUCCUGAACCAAGAAGAAGUGACGAAGUUCAAAAAUUGUAUAUGCUUAUUGGAUUGUGUAUGCUAGUUGCGAGCUUCCAGGAAAUAACUCUUCAAUUAAGACCGUACCCUAAACCGACACAGGUGGACAGGUAGAGUAUACCAAGGCGCUUGAGAGAACGAUGCUGAAGGAACUAGGCAAAUUGCAUCUGUAACUUCGGGAGAAAGAUGACCUAUAAUUGGGCAACCAGUUGUAGGUGGCACAAACCAGGGGGUAGCGACUGUUUAUUAAAAACACAGGGCUCUGCUAAGUCAAUAGACGAUGUAUAGGGUCUGACGCCUGCCCAGUGCUGGAAGAUUAAAAGGAGGGGUGCAAGCUCUGAAUUGAAGUCCCAGUGAACGGCGGCCGUAACUAUGACGGUCCUAAGGUAGCGAAAUUCCUUGUCGGGUAAGUUCCGACCUGCACGAAUGGCGUAACGACUUCCCCAUUGUCUCCAGUAUCGACUCAGCGAAAUUGAAUUCUCCGUGAAGAUGCGGAGUUCCCGCGGCUAGACGGAAAGACCCCGUGAACCUUUACUAUAGCUUUGCAGUGGUAUUAGGAACUAGAUGUGUAGGAUAGGUGGGAGACUAUGAAGUGGGGGCGCCAGCUCUCAUGGAGUCAUCCUUGAAAUACCACCCUUCUAGUUCUUGAUAUCUAACCAAGCCCCUUGAAUCAGGGGCUGGGACCCUGCAUGGUAGGCAGUUUGACUGGGGCGGUCUCCUCCCUUUAUCGUGACUGGGAAAC
rnacentral:rRNA from 1 species